UUUUUUUUCUUGUGUUUUGCCCAGCCAUUUUCUGAUUUGUUUGCCUGCCCGGUUCUGUCUGCCUGUGUAGUAACUUUUUUCCAAGUAAAGACUUGGAUUUUUGAGGAACCCUGAACUGUGUCUUGAAUCAUUUGAGUCCUAUUGAUUUGUGGUUACCAGUGUCUGAGUACAAACUGGCCACAAUGGACUCAGACAGCUCUGCUUCUGUGAAAGCUGCUAUCUGGUCUCAAGGCAGACAGAUUCAGCGGCACAAGAAACAACUUACAUCUCUUUGUCAUGGAGUGAGGGGAGCUUAAUGAAUGUCACAAGGGCCUCCAGUCCUCCAUCAGCAGCCAGAUGGGCCAUCUUAACCAUCAGAUGCAACAGUUGAUUGCCUGCUUUGAUUCCCUGGAUUCCAUUGCUCCUACCGCUUUGCCAUCUCCUGGUCCUUGCUUCUGCUAUUGAACCACCACAAGCUCCUGUGUUUGCUCCCCUGUAACCUUCUGUUCCUCAUCUGUCCAGACCAGAGAGGUUUUCUGGUGACACCAAAAACUGCUACGCCUUCCUGGUACAGUGUGGGCUGCACUCUGAAAUGCCGCUGCAUUUCUCCCUGAAUGAGCUAGGGUGGCGUACACCAUUACUCACCUGAGCGGUUGAGCCGAAGCCUGGGCAACGGUAGAAGGGGCCCGAAAUUCCCCCAUGUACUACUCCUUGGUUGUCCUCACUAACACAAUGUAUAAUAUUUUUGAACACACCACCCCAGGUCCAGAGGCAGCACGAGCCAAUAAGGAUUUGCACCAGGGAAAUCAUCAGGUCUCCGACUAAACCAUCUUAUUCCGCACCCUGGCAGUAGACUGUGGCUGGAACACGUCCUCCCUGCUCAGUGGUUUCCAUCAUGGUCUCUCUGACCCCAUAAGAGAUCACCUGAUCUUCUUACAUUGACCCUCAGUUCUUGAUUCAUUCUCUGCCCUUGCCACUAAAAAUGGAUAGAAUGAAAACAGGAGAGGAAUAGACAAGCCAGUCCAGAGGAGACACUCCUCUGGCAGCCGACUUCAUCCUCGAUGCUCACCAUGUCACACACAGACCCCUGCUUCACCAGUACCCUCUGCUGUCCCAGAAGAACCUAUGAAGCUGGGCUGUGCCAGACUCACUCCAGAGGAACGGCAGUGCCUUCAAGAUGGUUGGUGCAUUUACUCCUCCCAGCUGGGACACUUCAAGGAGUCCUGUCCAGUAAAAGACCGGGCUCAGAAGUGAAGAGGACACUGGUAUUUGUGGACUCUGGCACGGAUACAAGUUUUAUGGACUGGAGUUUGGCUAAGAAAUGGGACAGGUAGUUUUCCAUCUGCCCAAGACCCUGGAGACCAACACAUUGGACAGCCAUCUAUAUUGUUAAGUCACUCACUGCACUCAGUCAAAUCCGCACGGCCAAGGGUCAUACGGAACAACUCAGCUUUCACCUCUUCAACUCUCCUCUGCAUCCACUUACUCUGGGACUUCUUGGCUCAAAAGACACAAUCCACCACUGGUGAGGUAAUGGGUUGGGGGGAGGGCUGUACACUAAUCUUUUUUACUCCCGUGUGUUCCCAGAAGCCUCCCCAUCCCUCGGAUCAGUCGCUGAAAGCUCCUGAUCCUCCUGUUUCCAAGUCACUCCCUGAGCCUCCGGACUUCGAUUUCCCUCACCUCUGCAAGGUCCCAACCUGUUAUCAUGAUCUGAGGUUUUCAGCAAGCCUCAUGCGAACCCCCUACUCCCACACCAUGAGUAUGAUUGUGCACCUCUGCCUCUACCCUUUGUCAGAUCCAGAAGGAUGGAUCCCUGCUAAUCUCAGCAAUGGAAACUGGGAUUAUCCAUCCAUCCUCCUCACCCAUUGUAGCUGGAUUUUUCUUUGUAGACAAAGGACAAAUCACACCACCCCUGCUUCGACUACCACAGCCUCAACGAUAUCACCAUCAAAAACAGGUACCCCCUCCUGCUUUUUAACUGUUACAAGGCGCUAAAAAUAUUCUGCAAAAUAGACCUUAGAAAUACGUAUCACUUGGUGAUGAUCAGGGCAAUGAAUUUAAGACAGCUUUUAAUAAUACCAGGUGGCCAUUACAAGUAUCUUCUGAUGCCGUUUGGACUAACUAAUUUUUGUUUACCUGGAUGAUACCCCCAUCUUCUCUCUGUAUGAGCAAACCCACAUACAGCAUGUCCGACAAGUCCUGCAAUGCCUUCUAGAUCACCAGCUCUUCAUCAAAGCUGAAAAGUGUAUCAUCAGUUUCGUUCCUGGGCUUCAUUACCUUUCAGAACUGCAUCUAAAUGGACCAUCCUAAGGUCUGUGCUGUGGCCAAUUGGAUGACCCCCACUAGAAGAAAGAAGCCCCAAUGUUUAAAUUUUUCAAUUCAGUUAAAUUUUAUUUAUAUAGCGCAAAAUAAUAACAGAAGUUAUCUCAGGGCACUUUUCAUAUAGAGCAGGUCUA